rnacentral:pre_miRNA from 1 species
AUAGUACUCCCUCCGUCCGGAAACACUUGUCAUCAAAAUGAAUAAAAGGGGAUGUAUCUAGAUGUAUAUUAGUUCUAGAUACAUCUUUUUUAUCCAUUUUGAUGACAAGUAUUUUCGGACGGAGGGAGUAGUAC